UAGGGAAUCUUCCACAAUGGACGCAAGUCUGAUGGAGCAACGCCGCGUGAGUGAAGAAGGUCUUCGGAUCGUAAAGCUCUGUUGUUGGUGAAGAAGGAUAGAGGCAGUAACUGGUCUUUAUUUGACGGUAAUCAACCAGAAAGUCACGGCUAACUACGUGCCAGCAGCCGCGGUAAUACGUAGGUGGCAAGCGUUGUCCGGAUUUAUUGGGCGUAAAGCGAGCGCAGGCGGAAUGAUAAGUCUGAUGUGAAAGCCCACGGCUCAACCGUGGAACUGCAUCAGAAAACUGUCAUUCUUGAGUGCAGAAGAGGAGAGUGGAACUCCAUGUGUAGCGGUGGAAUGCGUAGAUAUAUGGAAGAACACCAGUGGCGAAGGCGGCUCUCUGGUCUGCAACUGACGCUGAGGCUCGAAAAGCAUGGGUAGCGAACAGGAUUAGAUACCCUGGUAGUCCAUGCCGUAAACGAUGAGCGCUAGGUGUUGGGGACUUUCCGGUCCUCAGUGCCGCAGCAAACGCAUUAAAGCGCUCCGCCUGGGGAGUACGACCG
rnacentral:rRNA from 1 species